AACGAACGCUGGCGGCAUGCCUAACACAUGCAAGUCGAACGAGACCUUCGGGUCUAGUGGCGCACGGGUGCGUAACGCGUGGGAAGUCUGCCCUUGGGUUCGGAAUAACAGUUGGAAACGACUGCUAAUACCGGAUGAUGUCUUCGGACCAAAGAUUUAUCGCCCACGGGAUGAGCCCGCGUAGGAUUAGCUUGUUGGUGAGGUAAAGGCUCACCAAGGCGACGAUCCUUAGCUGGUCUGAGAGGAUGAUCAGCCACACUGGGACUGAGACACGGCCCAGACUCCUACGGGA
rnacentral:rRNA from 1 species